UACGUAGGGGGCAAGCGUUGUCCGGAUUUACUGGGCGUAAAGAGCGCGCAGGCGGUCGUUCAAGUCGAGUGUGAAAGCCCCCGGCUCAACUGGGGAGGGUCACUCGAUACUGAUCGACUUGAAGGCAGGAGAGGGAAGCGGAAUUCCCGGUGUAGUGGUGAAAUGCGUAGAUAUCGGGAGGAACACCGGUGGCGAAGGCGGUUCUCUGGGCCUUACCUGACGCUGAGGAGCGAAAGCGUGGGGAGCGAACAGG
rnacentral:rRNA from 1 species